GUGGGGAAUUUUCCGCAAUGGGCGAAAGCCUGACGGAGCAACGCCGCGUGAGGGAAGAAUGUCUGUGGGUUGUAAACCUCUUUUCUCAGGGAAGAAGAACUGACGGUACCUGAGGAAUCAGCAUCGGCUAACUCCGUGCCAGCAGCCGCGGUAAUACGGAGGAUGCAAGCGUUAUCCGGAAUUAUUGGGCGUAAAGCGUCCGUAGGCGGUUUUUCAAGUCUGCUGUUAAAGCGUGCAGCUUAACUGCAUAAGGGCAGUGGAAACUGAGAGGCUAGAGUGUAGUAGGGGUAGAGGGAAUUCCCAGUGUAGCGGUGAAAUGCGUAGAUAUUGGGAAGAACACCGGUGGCGAAAGCGCUCUACUGGGCUACAACUGACGCUGAUGGACGAAAGCU
rnacentral:rRNA from 1 species